rnacentral:rRNA from 1 species
CACCAGACUCCUACGGGAGGCAGCAGUGGGGGAUAUUGCACAAUGGGGGGAACCCUGAUGCAGCGACGCCGCGUGGGUGAAGAAGUAUUUCGGUAUGUAAAGCCCUGUCGGCAGGGAAGAAUUUAGACGGUACCUGACUAAGAAGCCCCGGCUAACUACGUGCCAGCAGCCGCGGUAAUACGUAGGGGGCAAGCGUUAUCCGGAUUCACUGGGUGUAAAGGGAGCGUAGACGGCCAUGCAAGCCUGGAGUGAAAGCCCGGGGCCCAACCCCGGGACUGCUCUGGGAACUGUGCGGCUGGAGUGCGGGAGGGGCAGGCGGAAUUCCUGGUGUAGCGGUGAAAUGCGUAGAUAUCAGGAGGAACACCGGCGGCGAAGGCGGCCUGCUGGACCGCGACUGACGUUGAGGCUCGAAAGCGUGGGGAGCAAACAGGAUUAGAUACCCGAGUA